rnacentral:snoRNA from 1 species
ACGACCUUACUUGAACAGGAUCUGUUCUAUAGGCUCGUACCGCUGCAAUCCUUUACCAAUAAGGAGGCAAACACUUCAGUCUAGUUGAUGCAUUCUGACCUCUAGGCC